rnacentral:rRNA from 1 species
AGAUUGAACGCUGGCGGCAUGCUUUACACAUGCAAGUCGUGCGGCAGCGCGGGGGCAACCCUGGCGGCGAGCGGCGAACGGGUGAGGAAUACAUCGGAACGUACCCCGGAGUGGGGGAUAACCCAGCGAAAGUUGGACUAAUACCGCAUAUGCUCUGAGGAGGAAAGCAGGGGACUUCGCAAGAGGCCUUGCGCUCUGGGAGCGGCCGAUGUCCGAUUAGCUAGUUGGUGGGGUAAUGGCUCACCAAGGCGACGAUCGGUAGCUGGUCUGAGAGGAUGAUCAGCCACACUGGGACUGAGACACGGCCCAGACUCCUACGGGAGGCAGCAGUGGGGAAUUUUGGACAAGUGGGGCAACCCUGAUCCAGCCAUGCCGCGUGCGGGAAGAGGCCUUCGGUGUAACCGCGUUUGGUCGGAAGAAGGCGAGCGUUGAAUACGGCCUGUCUUGACGGUACGCAGAAUAGCACGCUAACACGUGCCAGCAGCCGUACG